rnacentral:lncRNA from 1 species
AAGGAAUCUCCUGCAGGUAGCUAAGGAGCUGAUGUCUCUAUGGCUGUGCAGGGCUCCAGGGAACGAAAUAAAAGAUAUGCUUUUCCUGCCCUGGGUUGGUGUAAGCCUUGCACCGCCUUCUCUGCUCUCCCUCCGGCCCCUGGAGUUCCACCGCCUGGCUGCCUACGCUGGCCCUUCCCUUCCUUCGAGAGGAGGCGUGCACCUCGAGGCUGUCCAGCCGGGCCUCCUGGGCCAGAGCCGCGGAGAAAAGGAAGAGGGGGAAACCACUGUGAUGCCCGCCCGGCCCAGGGUGGGGAGGCAAGGUCCGCAGGUGUUGAUGAGGAAGCCUGAACGUCAACACUCUGCGCGGAGACUUCGGCUCUGCAGCCUUCCUUCCACGGUGGUGGGCAUCUUGCCAAUUUGCAGGACCAAGAAAGAAGCCCAGCUGCUCUCAGAGGACCCGAACUUCAAUUUUAAACCCACCUCCUCUCAUUGUGUCCGGCCUUCUGGGCUUACAGCAUUUCAAUAGGAGCGGGGUGGGGUGGGGUGGGGUAGCUCUCCAAUGGCUGACCGGACUCUUAAGAGAUGAUUUAAUUUUCUUAUCCUUGGGUUUCUCAAAAUGGGUUUCCCUGAAAUAAAGGUUCCCCCAUCUUUUCACAAUUAU